rnacentral:rRNA from 1 species
AUUGAACGCUGGCGGCAGGCCUAACACAUGCAAGUCGACGUAAGCGGCGGACGGGUGAGUAAUGUAUGGGGAUCUGCCCGAUAGAGGGGGACAACAGUUGGAAACGACUGCUAAUACCGCAUACUGAAGGAGGGGAUUGCGUCUGAUUAGCUAGUUGGAGGGGUAACGGCCCACCAAGGCGAUGAUCAGUAGCCGGGCUGAGAGGAUGAGCAGCCACACUGGGACUGAGACACGGCCCAGACUCCGACGUGAGGCAGCAGUGGGGAAUAUUGCACAAUGGGCGAAAGCCUGAUGCAGCCAUGCCGCGUGUAUGAAGAAGGCCCUAGGGUUGUAAAGUACUUUCAGUCGGGAGGCGUUACCGACAGAAGAAGCACCGGCUAACUCCGGCCAGCAGCCGCGGUAAUUC